CCCCUGGUGGUCUAGUGGUUGGGAUGUGGCACUCUCACCGCUGUGGCCUGGGUUCGAUUCCCAGUUAGGGAA
rfam:Manacus vitellinus contig24610, whole genome shotgun sequence.